UGCAAGUGAUGUUUUUCUCACAAUGGUCUUCCAAGCCGUUGUGGAGUUGACGAAACGUCCCCUCGUCAACUCUGCUGCAGUGUA
ensembl:snoRNA